rnacentral:rRNA from 1 species
UACGGAGGGAGCUAGCGUUAUUCGGAAUUACUGGGCGUAAAGCGCACGUAGGCGGCUUUGUAAGUCAGAGGUGAAAGCCUGGAGCUCAACUCCAGAACUGCCUUUGAGACUGCAUCGCUUGAAUCCAGGAGAGGUGAGUGGAAUUCCGAGUGUAGAGGUGAAAUUCGUAGAUAUUCGGAAGAACACCAGUGGCGAAGGCGGCUCACUGGACUGGUAUUGACGCUGAGGUGCGAAGGCGUGGGGAGCGAACGGG